GAAGGAAGAGGAAAGAGAAGCAGAAGUCGUCGCUUUGAGUCGGGGGAGAGUGUGAGCCAAUAGCUGGUUCCUGGGCAGAGGAUGGAUAGAGAAGAGCAUAUACAGUCCACUUGUUCUGACUCUUGGUGGAUUUAAAGACGAAACCAUCAGUUAUCAGAAGCUC
rnacentral:lncRNA from 1 species